GCUUCCUACGUUACUUUGUAUUUGUUGUUCCUGUAAAACCUUUGAGAGGCCAGAAGAAAACUAGGCUAAAUUAUAAUCAUGCUUGUGAUCUGAUUGUUAUUUGGUUCAAUAACAUUAAUAGCAUCCAACAUUCUGUGUUUUUCCCUUUAAUGUUUAUCAUUUAUUCUUGGAUCAGUUCUUUUCGUUAUAGUUGCAUUAAGAUGAGUGUGUGAACGGUUGUAAUAUUGCCUGCUGGCUGUGAUAGUUAAAUAUUUUGGUUUAGUUCUAGAGGCAAUAUACAGCUGAUGGGCACAGUUUUGCUGGUGCAGUGAGUCAAUAACAAAAUUAAUUGUGCUUGACUGAGUUUGAUCUUCAUCGACAUCAACCUGUGCCCACUUAAAAUGAACGAGUAUGAGAUGAAGCUUGAACCAGGUGAGCUUGCGUUCUAAAUUUAGGUGCCAUUAGGUGAUGCCUGGGAGGCUGGUUCAGACAGAAAAUUAUAUAUUUCUUGAUAGUGAAAUGUAUGACAUGUACCCCAGAAGGUUUCAGAUUCUAUUAUUUGUAGGCUAUGAGCUUGAGAGAGCCUUUCAGGCUAUGAUAGUAGUAGGAUUUUGGAGCACGCAAAGAUCCAGUAUAGGACCUUUAUUUAGGGAGAGCUUUUAGAACAUGGUCCUCUUGAUCCUCCUAUCAUUAUCCCAAUAAGAAAUCUUACUUCUUUUUUGUUAUCAAUCAUGGAUGUUCUAAUUUCAUUUUGCUUGUUUAUUUGCUUUAUAUUGUAUCAGCUGACAAGACCUUCUGGUUUUAGAUUCAGGACAUCGGAUAGCCCGCCGCUUUUGAGGUUGGGCCAGAGAGACGUGCUCAUUUAUCUACUAAUGCUGAACCACAUAGCUUCCUUAUAGCAGCAGAAAAAUGCGCUUCAGCAGCAGGUUGACGACUUUCAGAUUCAGUUAGCAUUGUGGUCUUAGGCUCUGGGAUUAUGUUCAGCCUAGAGAUGGUAGAGAGCAUGACCAUGAUAUGGAAGCGUCUUGUGAUUUUGAGAGUCAUGGAAAGUGAUAUAUCAUCUUCCGAUGGCUCUGGUGGCUACGAUAGAAGUAACAGCAGUGACAGUGGGAUAAACUAUAUUCGAGUGAACAUAUCCUCGAUAUCCUUAAACUACGAUGUUUGCUAAGAUCAGCUCUAAUUUUGACUACAUUUGCAUACAAAUGAGUGCUAAAUGUUAUUUUGCAUGCUGGCUCUGUGAUAUUAGCUAGACUAAUAAAAUAUUAUGGCCUACUAGUACAAAUUACGAGCUCAACUUCAAUUUAUACUCCCUAUAAUAUGGGCAAUUUUAUUAUAUCUACAACAAAUGUUUCUUUGUUUGUUAAAUCAUCGAAUGUGAUUAUUAUAAUUUAUUGUUUUAUUUCUGAUUUUAGUUUUUUAUGCUUCUUUUGCCAAUCUCUAAUCAAAAAGCAUCAUAGGCACUUCUUUAUAUCAUUGCGUUUUAUGUUUUAGCAGAUACAAAGGUUAACUUGUGCAGAGAGUCAGUGACCAAUUAGUUGUUCUAGGCUGAGUUUGACCAUAAUCAACCAAGGAUUGAGGCCUAGAGCUACUGAAAGCUAUCAGCAUGAGAUGAGGCCUGAACCAGGUGAUUAGUUCUUAAAAGUAAAUUCAUAUACAAGUUUCUUUGAGCAUGUUAUGCUCCUUCAUUUUGAUGCUUACGAAAAUCGUGUCUUGUUGAGGUGGCUUAAACCUAUGCACUGCAUAGUAUUAAAAUCUCACUCGUUCACGCAUAUAUAUGCACACAUAGAUAUACACCUCAUCUGGCUCUCUCCCUGAAAAACACAAAACAAACCAUCGCUAAACAGAAUGAAUGAAGAGAUGGACAAUAUAUGGCUGCCAAACCAAAUGGGUAUUAAAGUACAUUUAUCGCUCAGCUGCUCGGUUGUUCAUGUUGAUGAACAGAAUAUUUCUCUGAGAAAUGCUUACAUGCUAUAUUAUCUAGUCUCAUGCUUUCUCCUUGUUAUCAUUUAUUUUUGCAUUGUCUGAUUGGAUUAAUGACAUUAAUUGUAAAUUGUGGAAUGAUAUUUAUGCUAGAAAACGCUAGAAAACUUCA